rnacentral:rRNA from 1 species
CCCCCCCUCGAGGUCUGCUCGAAAGUGUGGGUAUCAAACAGGAUUAGAUACCCUGGUAGUCCACACAGUAAACGAUGAAUACUCGCUGUUUGCGAUAUACAGUAAGCGGCCAAGCGAAAGCGUUAAGUAUUCCACCUGGGGAGUACGCCGGCAACGGUGAAACUCAAAGGAAUUGACGGGGGCCCGCACAAGCGGAGGAACAUGUGGUUUAAUUCGAUGAUACGCGAGGAACCUUACCCGGGCUUAAAUUGCACUCGAAUGAUCCGGAAACGGUUCAGCUAGCAAUAGCGAGUGUGAAGGUGCUGCAUGGUUGUCGUCAGCUCGUGCCGUGAGGUGUCGGCUUAAGUGCCAUAACGAGCGCAACCCUUAUCGAUAGUUACCAUCAGGUUAUGCUGGGGACUCUGUCGAGACUGCCGUCGUAAGAUGUGAGGAAGGUGGGGAUGACGUCAAAUCAGCACGGCCCUUACGUCCGGGGCUACACACGUGUUACAAUGGGGGGUACAGAAGGCAGCUACACGGCGACGUGAUGCUAAUCCCUAAAGCCUCUCUCAGUUCGGAUUGGAGUCUGCAACCCGACUCCAUGAAGCUGGAUUCGCUAGUAAUCGCGCAUCAGCCACGGCGCGGUGAAUACGUUCCCGGGCCUUGUACACACCGCCCGUCAAGCCAUGAAAGCCGGGGGUACCUGAAGUGCGUAACCGCAAGGAGCGCCCUAGGGUAAAACUGGUGACUGGGGCUAAGUCGUAACAAGGUAGCCGUACCGGAAGGUGCGGCUG